AUCCAGUUAUGCCAGCAUCACUUGUUGAAGAUUCUUUCUUUUUUCCAUUGUACAGUUUUGGCUUGUUUGUCAAAAAUUAGUUGUUCAUACGUGUGUGGCUUAAUGUCAGAGUCUUCAGUUCAAUUGCAUUGACUAAUGUGUCU